rnacentral:rRNA from 1 species
CCUGCACCUGCCGGCGACUGGCGCACGGGUGAGUAACACGUAUGGAACCUGCCCGCCACAGGGGGAUAACCCGGGGAAACCCGGCCUAAUACCCCAUGCCGCCCGGACCGGGCAUCCGGUCCGGGCGAAAGGAGGAAUCCGGUGGCGGCUGGGCAUGCGGCGCAUUAGCUUGACGGCGGGGUAACGGCCCACCGUGGCGACGAUGCGUAGGGGUUCUGAGAGGAAGGCCCCCCACACUGGAACUGAGACACGGUCCAGACUCCUACGGGAGGCAGCAG